AGCAACUUCGCGAGUUGGUACUCCUGGAAGAAUUUAAAAACUGUGUUCCUGAGGCAGUUGCAACCUAUUUGAGUGAGCAGCGUGUGUCCAAAGUUGGGGACGCCGCUGUACUUGCUGACGAAUAUGUUCUGGCUCACAAAGGGGUCUUUAAUGAUAAACAUCUUGAGGCUAAGAACCAUGCUUUUACUCGUCCUCUUCGCUUUAAGGCUAGCAGCAAUGGUCCUGGUUCUUCUGUUUUUGCUUCAAGGCCUGCUAGUUCUGGCUCUGGAAACUCUGAGAGGAUUUGUUUUUUUUGUAAAAAGCCUGGUCAUGUCAUAGCUGAUUGUCAUGCUCUCAGUAAAAAGCAGAAAGCUGCUAAGCCAGUGGCAUUGUUGGCUUCAGUGUCACGUCUGCCUGGUGGAGCUAAUUGUCUCAGUCACUUCGCUGAAGACAGGCCUGGGGUGGGAAAAGGUCUGAGUAAGUCCAGUGAGAACAGCACUGAGUCUGAUCUUUUUGCACCUUUCCGUAUGGAGGGGUUGGUGGCCAUCUCUGAGUCAGAUAAGUUUGUCCCCGUUCGUAUUCUAAGGGACACAGCAGCCGCUCAGUCUUUGUUGGUGGAGGGAGUUUUGCCCCUCUCUGAAGAAACUUCUACUGGUGAAAAUGCUUUGGUGCGGGGGUGUGGUCUGACUUGGAUUGAAGCCCCAUUGCAUGUUGUGUAUUUACAGUCUGGGUUGGUUACAGGCUCUGUGGCAGUGGCUAUUCGCCCUGAACUUCCUGUGGAAGGAGUGGACAUGAUUCUGGGGAAUGAUUUGGCUGGUGGGGAGGUGUUCCCUACACCCAUUGUUGUGAACAACCCAGUUGGCUCUAGGUCUGUUAACCAAGGUGAUCAGGCAUCUCAGAUGACAAAAGUCUUUCCUGCUUGUGUGGUAACUCGCGCUCAGUCACGUAAGGUUGAAGAUGUGGUAGAUCUUUCAGAAAUGUUUAUUGCUCCAUGCAAAGAAACUGUCGAGAAUGUGCCUGCUGGUCCCUCUGCUGCUUCUGAGUUUACGGUAGCUAAGCAGUCUAAUGAUUCCACUGUAUCUGAGACUAUUGAGGUUACAUUGUCCAGUCCUGUCACCUUGUCUGAUGAGUCUGAGGCUCAGUUAAAGGUUGGCAGGGAGCAGUUGGUAGAGGCUCAGAAGGCCGAUCCUUCCUUGGCUAAGUGUGUAGCAGCAGCAUUGCCUAAAGAUGAGAUGGGUGCCUCUCAAGUGGCUUACUACUGGGAGGAUGGUAUCCUCAUGCGCAAGUGGGCUCCUUCAGCUGAUGACAGUGAGUGUAAUGAUGUACAUCAGAUUGUUGUCCCUGCUGGUUACCGGGCACAGAUAUUGAGCUUAGCUCAUGAUAAUGUUUUGUCUGGUCAUCUAGGGAUAGCUAAAACUUACUAUCGCAUAUUAAAGCAUUUCUUCUGGCCUGGUUUGAAACGUGAUGUUUCCCAAUAUUGCCACUCAUGUCAUACAUGUCAGUUGGUUGGGAAACCAAACCAAGUGAUCCCACAGGCUCCACUUCAUCCUAUACCUGUGAUGGGGGAGCCCUUUGAGAGACUCCUCAUAGAUUGUGUUGGCCCGUUACCCAAGUCAAAAUCUGGUCACCAGUUUCUCUUGACCUUAAUGUGUGCUGCAACUCGAUACCCUGAGGCAAUCCCACUGCGUUCUCUUAAAGCUAAGGUGGUAGUAAAAGAACUGAUGAAAUUCUGUACCACUUUUGGGUUGCCAAAGGUAAUUCAAACAGACCAGGGUACUAACUUUAUGUCGAAAGUGUUUUCUCAGGUGUUGGAAGAGUUGGCUGUGAAACAUCAGGUCUCCAGUGCCUACCACCCAGAGAGCCAGGGGGCACUAGAGCGCUUCCACCAGACCCUGAAGACAAUGUUGCGUGCUUACUGUCUUGAAACUGGUAAGGAAUGGGAUGAAGGUAUACCAUUCCUGCUUUUUGCUGUUCGAGAGACAGUUCAGGAGUCACUGGGUUUCAGUCCUGCAGAAUUGGUAUUUGGCCACACAGUUCGUGGACCGUUGAAGUUGUUGCGUGAGCAGCUGAUGGGGGUUACUUCUCCUGUCCAAAACGUGCUGGACUAUGUCAGUUCUUUCAGAGAACGUCUUCAUCAUGCCUGUGAGGUAGCGAAAGAAUCACUGUCUGGCUCCCAAUCUAAAAUGAAGGCUCACUUUGAUAAGAGUGCUAUUAGAGUUAGACGCAGUUUUAAACCUGAAGAUCCUGUGCUGGUUUUUCUUCCUAUUCCUGCUUCAGUGCUUCAGGCCAAGUUUACUGGCCCUUAUGUAAUUGAAAAGAAACUGAGUGAAACAGAUUAUGUUAUCCGUACUCCUGAUAGGAGACGAAAAACUCGUGUAUGUCAUGUGAACAUGCUCAAGCCCUACUGUGCCCGGCUCAGUGAACCUACCCAUUCCCCUCCAGCUAAGGUGUUGCCUGUAGCUUUAACAGCAGUACUGCCAUGUUAUUCUCCUCAGGAUGAUGAUCUAGUGAUGCAAGAUGAUCCUGUUCUGUGUGCUCGGCUGUCAAACUCUCAAGUGUUGAGUGAUUUGGAGAAUUACUUGUGUCAUCUUUCUGGGACAGAUAAGAGUGACAUUCUCAAGUUAAUUGAAAGUAAUCACAUGCUGUUCUCAGAUGUACCGACCCAAACCACAGUGUUACAGCAUGACAUUGACGUUGGUGACUGCCCUCCUAUUAAGCAGCAUGCCUACCGUGUGAAUCCCACCAAAAGAGCUCAAAUGCAAAAAGAGGUUGAGUACUUGCAACAGCAUGACCUGGCUGUUCCCAGCUCCAGUGCCUGGAGCUCUCCAUGUUUAUUAGUGCCAAAGUCUGAUGGAACAUCACGCUUUUGUACUGAUUUCCGGAAACCUAAUGCUGUAACUAAACCAGACUCUUUUCCUCUUCCUCGCAUAGAAGAUUGCAUCGAUAGAGUUGGAGCUGCUCGCUACGUCACCAAGCUGGACCUGUUAAAGGGCUACUGGCAGGUACCUUUAACGCCACGUGCAUCUGAGAUUUCUGCAUUUGUGACACCAGAUAGUUUCAUGCAGUACACGGUCAUGGCAUUUGGUAUGCGCAAUGCCCCUGCCACCUUUCAGCGCCUUAUGCAAAUAGUGCUGUCUGGUGUGGCAAACUGUGAAGCCUAUCUUGAUGAUGUGGUGGUCUAUUCUGCUGACUGGCAAUCCCACGUGGAAACCUUGUCUGUUGUGUUUCAGUGCCUGCAGGAUGCAUCCCUCACCCUGAAUCUAGCAAAAUGUGAGUUUGCCAAGGCCACCAUCACUUAUCUUGGCAAGAAGGUUGGUCAGGGACAAGUGCGGCCAGUAGAUGCCAAAAUAACAGCUAUUGCUGAGUUCCCUGUUCCCACCACUAAGCGGGAACUGCGUCGCUUCCUUGGGCUAGCUGGUUAUUAUAGAGGGUUCUGCCGUAAUUUUGCUGCCAUUGUGUCUCCUUUGACUGAUCUCCUUAGCCCCACCAAGGAUCUAUUGCGGGACACCAAUUGUGAGCUGGCUUUUCAGUCCGUGAAAGCUUUUCUCAGCUCUUCUCCAGUGUUGUCGGCUCCUAAUUUUGCAGUUCCAUUUAAGUUGGAGGUUGAUGCAAGCGGAACUGGUGCUGGUGCUGUACUGCUGCAGGAGGAUUCCUCGGGUAUCGAUCACCCUGUUUGUUAUUUUUCUAAGAAGUUCUCUGCAGCCCAACGUAGGUAUAGCACUAUUGAAAAAGAGGCUUUAGCCAUGCUUUGGGCCCUCCAACAUUUUGAGGCUUACGUUGGCUCAACACCACAGCCGGUGUUGGUCUUUACUGAUCACAACCCUCUAGUCUUUCUAAGCCGUAUGUACAACCACAACCAACGGCUCAUGCGGUGGGCUCUUAUGGCCCAGAACUUUAAUAUAGAGAUUCGGCACAAGAAGGGGUGCGAUAAUGUUGUUGCUGAUGCCCUCUCUCGUGUAACCUAGGAGGUUGAUGCUGACAGCAGGGCUGUCAUCUUAAGGGAGGGGGUGUUACGUGCCAUUGUAUAUUUUGCUGUCCCUUGUAUGUGUGUCUGUCUGUGUUCUAGGUGCAGUUUCCUGAGAGAAGAUGCAGGGCACCUGCAUCAAGCUGUGGGUGUGGCCUAUAUAAGUGGCUCUUUUCUCCGCCCUCUCUCUCUCUCAUCUCCCUGGCACAGGAUCCCAGCCUUUGUUUGUGUUAACCAUCUUUUGUUAUAACAAUGUUAUUCCUGUUAACGUUUUGGUGGGGAACAAUGUGACACUGGACCCUGGAGUAAAACAGCUGCAGAAAGAACAUAAAGUCUUUUGGACACUGGGAGAGGACUGCAGUGGGA